UACAGAGGGGGCAAGCGUUGUUCGGAAUUACUGGGCGUAAAGGGCGCGUAGGCGGCCUGCUAAGUCGAACGUGAAAUCCCCGGGCUCAACCCGGGAACUGCGUCCGAUACUGGCAGGCUUGAAUCCGGGAGAGGGAUGUGGAAUUCCAGGUGUAGCGGUGAAAUGCGUAGAUAUCUGGAGGAACACCGGUGGCGAAGGCGGCAACCUGGACCGGCAUUGACGCUGAGGCGCGAAAGCCAGGGGAGCAAACGGG
rnacentral:rRNA from 1 species